GGGUUGGCACGGGCUCUUGUGUUCCUCUCGGUAUCUACAUACUGUCCGCAAACUUUGGAAGUGGCUCGGGGACCUGAUCCGCCAGAAAUCACUAAAAGUGUCCUUCCUUCAUACACCUGUCCGGCUCGGCCAUCUUUCUCCUGUCUGUUCGGUUUCGCAGUAUAAACCCCGGAAGUGGGAUCAAGAAGCACUGUCUGCACCAAACGCACUUUGGACAAGGGGUAGAAUGCACAAUACGGGGAAGAAUUACUUCCUUUUCUUGACCGCAGAGUGUAGAACAUAACACGUAGGACCAGCUACAUACUUUGUGAGGCCCAGUGCAAAAUGCAGCUGUGGGGUCUCUUGGCCGAAGGUCAUCAACCAUUUCAAGAUAGCGACGGCAGAGCAGGAGGCCCCUCUGGGUGCAGGGCCCUGUGUCUCCGUCCCAGUCACACAGCUGGACGCUGUCAGCUUGGACGUUGUGUUACGGGGUGACCACAAAACCACACCUUAGUCUCUGGGCCUGUUCCACUCCUUGAAAAUUAGAGACGGUCUCCACCAGAGUCAUCAGUAUAGUUGUUUUCUUAGGAGCCCUCUGCCUUCACAGUUCCCAGGGUUUGGGAGCUGUUGGAGUUUUAAAAUCUCAACCAAGCCACAUGGACACCGUCUCAUCAGAAGACCCAAAACUGAGCCGAAAACCAGCAGAGAGAGUGAACUGAACGAAGAGGGCUCCCUACCCGCAGCUGGCGAUUUCUCAGCCACCCACCCCAAAGGCAGUGUCCCCGACUCUCCCCCUUGUUCUGUUCAGGUGUCUUUCUAGAGCCCUGGAUCAGAGGUGUGUUUCAUGGUGGAGGAAGUGAAGGGGUAGAAUUGCGUGUGGAGAAGCAGAGAGGCAGUCUUGUAUUUUGGUUCCUAAAUUACACAGAUGCCUCUUCUCCAUUUUCUCUACAAAUGUGCACUUACUGGGCUGUUUCGUAACAGUAUUUCAUUGUCUUUAACAAAGCUCUUCCUCCAUCUGUGAAGCUGAAGUUUUAAUAAAAAUCUUCCUCCCUCUGGGA